rnacentral:rRNA from 1 species
UACGUAGGGUGCGAGCGUUACUCGGAAUUACUGGGCGUAAAGCGUGCGCAGGCGGUUUGUUAAGCCAGAUGUGAAAGCCCCGGGCUCAACCUGGGAACUGCGUUUGGGACUGGCAAGCUAGAGUACGGCAGAGGGGGGUGGAAUUCCACGUGUAGCAGUGAAAUGCGUAGAUAUGUGGAGGAACACCGAUGGCGAAGGCAGCCCCCUGGGCCGAUACUGACGCUCAGGCACGGAAGCGUGGGGAGCAAACAGG